AAUUCAUACCAUUUGGAAGUUUCCAAUCAAAAUGGUAUAGUAAUCUAGCUAGAGUAAGCUCAAGGGUUGCUGUACCAAAUGACAUUCCCGGACAAGCUCUCAUCCCGAAUCCAAAUCCCAAGAACUCAAAAGGAAUUGAUACUUCGAUAACAUUAUUGAACCUCUCGGGCUCAAAUUUUUCUGGAUCAUGCCAAUAUUGAGGGUCCCUUCCCAUUGCCCACAUAUUCACAAGGGCUAUAGUUUUUUUAGGUAUGAUAUACCCAUUAAGCUCGCACUGCUCUAUUGAUUCCCUAGGUAAAGACAAUGGACCAGGAGGAUGAAGCCUUAGAGUUUCCUUAACUACCAAUUUCAGGUACUUCAGAUUUUGAAUAUCACGUUGAUCAACUAUUUUUCUUCCUUUGAAGAUCUCUCUGACUUCAGCUUGCACUUUUUUCAUGACAGACGGAUUCUUUAUUAUUUCAGACAUGGCCCAUUCCAAUGCAGUUGCUGAUGUCACAGUUCCGGCAGCGAACAUAUUCUGUAGGUGCCCAAUCGAUAAGCAAUUUUAGGGUUCAUUUGUAGCCAAAUAUAAUAAAUAAAUAAUAAUACUUCUUAAGAAGAAGAAAGGGUGUUGGGGAAGAGAUUGACAUGAAGAUCUAGGUAGUACUUACCAAGAGUAUAGCUUUGAUGUUAUCUCUUGUUAUAGGGAUUUUAAAAUUGUGGCUCUCCUUGUCUUUAAGCCUUAAAAGAAGGUGCAAAAGAUCUUCUUUAUCAAUGGGCUCACCGUUAUUUCUUUCUAUGCUAGCUUCGUGUUCACGAACAAUUUCUUCAAGUAGGAGAUCACAUUCUUGAUGCAAUUUAACUAGCUUUUGCUUGGAUCCUAUGAUGAACUCAAGAAACUUGAGGGACGGGAACAAAUCUAAGAUAUUGAAAAUUCCUGCGAGACUUGCUAUUCCUUUUAUUGCAAAAAUUAAUGAGUCCGAAUUGUUACAGACCAUUCCAACUGAAGCUU
rnacentral:lncRNA from 1 species